CCAGCCUGCUCUGGCGCCCGGAGCCGUUUCAUGAGCGUGGUCACUCGGACAGCCUUCUGAAAACAGGACCGUAAGAAAGGCUCGUGGUGAGGUUUGCUGGAUCCACUCCUUCCAAAUGGCUAACCCAGCCCCUUCCAUAGUACCCCAGCUGCCUCCGGCCACCCAGCCAGUCAGUACUUCAGCUUAAGAUAACAGCACAAUCUACAGCCGCAUAGGAUAGCCUGGGGAAAAUUUGUGUUCAGCUGAAGAGGUGCAGCGGCAGCAAGAAACUGUGGGUGCAGGAAGAAGCACUUGGCACUGGGCCAAGAGGAAAGCAAGCCAAGCCCUACCUUCCACUUGGCUCUGGCGAAGUUCUUUUCAAUCUGGGCACAGACGCCAUCCUUGAUGUUCUUAUCAGAAGCAGCAUUACCAGAAAUCCUAGAAAGGAGGCCAGUGCCUCUGAUGAGAUGCUGUGCCUUCAUGGAGACUACACAGCUCUUCCCUGUGUGAUCUAGGACCACCAGGCAGAGCCUCUGCUUGGGCCAGAGCUCUAGAAAGCCUCCCUGACUGACCUUCAGGACCCCGAGGAUAAAAACUUCUGUUGUAAGAAGUUCAGAGGGCAACAGAAACUUGGCCUCCACUUCCACUCUCCACAGGGCCCUGCUCACCAUUCAUGAGAGAUGGCCUCUUCUGCAGUGAUCCGCUGGUCUUGCUCCACCUCCAUCAGCCUUGUGACCAGGUCUUUGGCUGGGGACAAAGCCAGGGAUAGGCUAGGCAUGGGCGCCCCAUCUCAUUGUCUAGAUGUGAUGAAUGGGCUGGGGAGCAGGAGUAAAAUCCAGCAGACACUGAGAGCAGCACCUCCCUCCCUCCAGCCCUAUACUCUGCCCACAUGCUGGGUAUCUCCUCACCUGCCUGAGAAAUAUCGUCCCAGUACGGAGAGUCAAACUCAUAGUCACCAGCCAGGAUCUUGCGGAAGAGAUUCUUAUCAUGGUUCUCAUAGUCAUCUUCUUCUACCUCCUCAUAGAAAGGAUGUACAUGAUGACACCAAUGGCCCAACAGUCCACAGGGCGUCCAUACCGUUGCCGUCCUACCACUUCCGGUGCUAAAGAAGAAAAGCGUCCAUCUGCCGGUAUGCAGCUUGCCUGUUGUCUUGUCCUUGGCCCGGAAGAUUUCACAGAACUCCUCACUGAAGCCAGCAGGCACUCUGCUCAGCCUAGGCCUUGGGACAGGGGACACUCCACUCCCCCUUCCCCAACUCUGGUCUAUCCACCCAUCAUUGCCCAAUAUGCCCAACACUCACGUCUUGAUGACUUGUCCCAAAUCAUAUCUGUCAGUCACCUCCGAUGGCUGAUUAUAGUUCUUCUUGUCGCCCAGAGUCACACACCCAAACGGCAUUGCUAGGCUCUAAGAUGCAAGCAGGAUGAGGUCUGACUCAAAUGUACCAUUUUCUACCCCCGCCCCCCACCAACAACAUUGAAUCUGCUUUUGGGAAACCCCAGUCCAGCUCAGGUCAAGUGAAGGGCAAAGUAGGCAAAUGUAGACCUGCUUUGCUUUUUCAGGUCAUACUGCAGCCACUCAAGCUGGCUGCCUGAGCUACAACAGCUCCCACUAAGCAAAAAUUUACUAAGUUGACAUAUUAGGAAGCAGCUUUUCAUUAGAUACACUUGAAAAGACUUACAGAACAAUUCGUUUACUUAUUUAGUUUUGAUUUUUGAGACAAGGUCACACUAUAUAGCCCUAGCUGCUCUGGACUCGAUAUAUAGAACAAGCUAACCUGGAACUUGCUGGAAUCCUCCUGCCUCCAGUAACGGGAUUAAACCAUCAGUUUCUUUAGGGUCAGGUAGAUGGCUCACCAGGUAAGGGCAUUUACCUCCAAACCUGAGUUUGAUCUCUGGGACCCACAUGACAGAAAGAGAGAACCAACUUCCACAAAUUGUCCUCUGACCUCCAUGCACAUACUAUACUGUCCCCCCAAAAUAAAUAAAUGUAAUUUUAAAACAAACAAACAAACAAAAAACCCACAAUUUCUUUAAAGUCAGGUAUGGUGACUCCCAUUUGUUAUUCUAGCACUCAGGAAACUGAUACAAGAGGAUUAGCAUGAGUCUGAGCCAGCCUGGGCUAUACUGGGACAC